rnacentral:rRNA from 1 species
GACGAACGCUGGCGGCGUGCUUAACACAUGCAAGUCGAACGGAAAGGCCCUGCUUUUGUGGGGUGCUCGAGUGGCGAACGGGUGAGUAACACGUGAGUAACCUGCCCUUGACUUUGGGAUAACUUCAGGAAACUGGGGCUAAUACCGGAUAGGAGCUCCUGCUGCAUGGUGGGGGUUGGAAAGUUUCGGCGGUUGGGGAUGGACUCGCGGCUUAUCAGCUUGUUGGUGGGGUAGUGGCUUACCAAGGCUUUGACGGGUAGCCGGCCUGAGAGGGUGACCGGAGAAAUGGGGACUGAGAUACGGCACAGACUACUACGGGAGGCAGCAGUGGGGAAUAUUGCAAAAGGGGCGGAAGCCUGAUGCAGAAACGCCGCGUGCGGGAUGACGGCCUUCGGGUUGUAAACCGCUGUAGCCUGUGACGAAGCGUGAGUGACGGUAAUGGGUAAAGAAGCACCGGCUAACUACGUG